rnacentral:rRNA from 1 species
GACGAACGCUGGCGGCGUGCUUAACACAUGCAAGUCGAACGGAAAGGCCCUGCUUUUGUGGGGUGCUCGAGUGGCGAACGGGUGAGUAACACGUGAGUAACCUGCCCUUGACUUUGGGAUAACUUCAGGAAACUGGGGCUAAUACCGGAUAGGAGCUCCUGCUGCAUGGUGGGGGUUGGAAAGUUUCGGCGGUUGGGGAUGGACUCGCGGCUUAUCAGCUUGUUGGUGUGGUAGUGGCUUACCAAGGCUUUGACGGGUAGCCGGCCUGAGGGGGUGACCGGCCCCAUUGGGACUGAGAUACGGCCCAGACUCCUACGGGAGGCAGCAGUGGGGAAUAUUGCACAAGGGGCUGAAGCCUGAUGCAGCAACGCCGCGUGCGGGAUGACGGCCUUCGGGUUGUAAACCGCUUUCGCCUGUGACGAAGCGUGAGUGACGGUAAUGGGUAAAGAAGCACCGGCUAACUACGUG